rnacentral:siRNA from 1 species
AUUAUUGAAACCUGAAUCUGAUUU